GACGAACGCUGGCGGCGUGCUUAACACAUGCAAGUCGAACGGUAAGGCCCCAGCUUGCUGGGGUACACGAGUGGCGAACGGGUGAGUAACACGUGGGUGACCUGCCCCGCACUUCGGGAUAAGUCUGGGAAACUGGGUCUAAUACCGGAUAGGACCGCACCGUGAGGGUGUGGUGGAAAGUUUUUCGGUGUGGGAUGGGCCCGCGGCCUAUCAGCUUGUUGGUGGGGUAAUGGCCUACCAAGGCGGCGACGGGUAGCCGGCCUGAGAGGGUGGACGGCCACAUUGGGACUGAGACACGGCCCAGACUCCUACGGGAGGCAGCAGUGGGGAAUAUUGCACAAUGGGCGGAAGCCUGAUGCAGCGACGCCGCGUGGGGGAUGACGGCCUUCGGGUUGUAAACUCCUUUCACCAUCGACGAAGGUUUUCUGACGGUAGAUGGAGAAGAAGCACCGGCUAACUACGUG
rnacentral:rRNA from 1 species